rnacentral:misc_RNA from 1 species
CUUGCACUUAACCUUUGGUGCCUCGUGAGGAUAUAUUGGAGAAAUACUGAAAGAGAACGUAAAUGUGCCACCCAUAUAAUAUCCUUCAUCAGGCCGAAUGGUGACUUCAAAGUUCAUGAGGUCAUCUUUUCCAUUGGGAAAUGAUAUGCUACAUGUUUUGGGUAGAUUUAGCUCACUUAUAUCUUUAUGAAGACGCAACUCUCCAGGACUUUGUUUCUUGACUGGUGGCUUUCCAUUUGCGUUCUCAGCUUGUUCUCUCUGCUUUUCUUUUACUUUGAACAACUUAAUCAUGGUCCCUGUUUAGAUGAGAAGAUGCAGAGUAGAAAAAGGGUAUUUUUUUUCUGAUCUCAGGUUAGCGUAAACCAGCAAAGGGAUUCUCUCUUCUCUCUUAUCGAAUUGAUUGAUGAGAGAGAAUCUAGAGAAAGAAACAAAGGAAA